UACGUAGGGGGCAAGCGUUGUCCGGAAUCAUUGGGCGUAAAGCGCGUGUAGGCGGUCCGGUAAGUCCGCUGUGAAAGUCAAAGGCUCAACCUUUGAAUGCCGGUGGAUACUGCAGGGCUAGAGUCCGGAAGAGGCGAGUGGAACUCCUGGUGUAGCGGUGGAAUGCGCAGAUAUCAGGAAGAACACCAACGGCGAAGGCAGCUCGCUGGGACGGAACUGACGCUAAGGCGCGAAAGCGUGGGGAGCGAACAGG
rnacentral:rRNA from 1 species